rnacentral:tRNA from 24 species
GGAGAAGUACCCAAGUGGCUCAAGGGGACCCUCUGCUAAGGGGUUAGACUGCGUAAGUGGUGCGAGGGUUCGAAUCCCUCCUUCUCCGCCA